CCCUUAGAUGUUCUGGGCUGCACGCGCGCUACACUGAUGCGUUCAACGAGUGUAUCACCUUGCCCGAUAGGGUUGGGUAAUCUUUUGAACACGCAUCGUGAUGGGGAUAGAUUAUUGCAAUUAUUAAUCUUCAACGAGGAAUUCCUAGUAAUGAUGGAUCAUCAGUUCAUCGUGAUUACGUCCCUGCCCUUUGUACACACCGCCCGUCGCACCUACCGAUUGAAUGGUCCGGUGAAAUCUCGGGACGGCGGCUUGGUCGCUUGCGUCCGACUGCUGAAACUUGAUUAAACCAUAUCAUUUAGAGGAAGGUGAAGUCGUANCA
rnacentral:rRNA from 1 species